rnacentral:rRNA from 1 species
GAUGAACGCUGGCGGCGUGCUUAACACAUGCAAGUCGAACGAAAGGCCGAAGCUUGCUUCGGUACUCGAGUGGCGAACGGGUGAGUAACCCGUGGGUGAUCUGCCCUGUACUUCGGGAUAAGCUUGGGAAACUGGGUCUAAUACCGGAUAUGACGAUCUCUUGGAUGGGGUUGUGGGAAGCUUUUGCGGUAUGGGAUGAGCUCGCGGCCUAUCAGCUUGUUGGUGGGGUAAUGGCCUACCAAGGCGUCGACGGGUAGCCGGCCUGAGAGGGUGUACGGCCACAUUGGGACUGAGAUACGGCCCAGACUCCUACGGGAGGCAGCAGUGGGGAAUAUUGCACAAUGGGCGCAAGCCUGAUGCAGCGACGCCGCGUGGGGGAUGACGGCCUUCGGGUUGUAAACUCCUUUCGCAAUCGACGAAGCCUUUUGGUGACGGUAGGUUGAGAAGAAGCACCGGCUAACUACGUG